rnacentral:lncRNA from 1 species
ACACCACCAAUAUUAGAACAGUCACUUGCUCAAGAUGUCAGUAUUAAAAGAAAAGGAAUAUUAACAGAUACAAAUUUAAGUAUACUCCAGUACAUUUAUACUUCCACAACUCUAAACACAGAGACAUAGUGAUUCAUACUCUUUGAGAUUUUCCCGUUAAGGAAGCGUAAUUUAAAACAGGGAAUGGUUCUCAGAUUUCCUUGCAAGAAAAUCUUCUGGUUGUGACAAGCAUUAUCAAAACAGGUUACAGAGAAUCUCCAUUUUGUUUUUGGCCUUCAUGAAGUGGUUCCCUGAAUUUGUCCAUUUUCUGACAUUUUAGCCCAGCAUGGGUGCUUCAUUUGCUUAUUAGCUUCUGCUAACUUUCUUUUGAUGCAACGGAGCUAGCAUUCCUCUUGGUUCUCAGUAGGCACAGGGGUCACCUACUGUUUUCAUGGUGUC